rnacentral:rRNA from 1 species
UACAGAGGGUGCGAGCGUUAAUCGGAAUUACUGGGCGUAAAGCGUGCGCAGGCGGUUUUGUAAGCCAGAUGUGAAAUCCCCGGGCUUAACCUGGGAAUGGCAUUUGGGACUGCAAGGCUGGAGUUUGGCAGAGGAGACUGGAAUUCCUGGUGUAGCAGUGAAAUGCGUAGAUAUCAGGAGGAAUACCGAUGGCGAAGGCAGGUCUCUGGGCUAUAACUGACGCUCAUGCACGAAAGCGUGGGGAGC